AUUGAACGCUGGCGGCCGGCCUAACACAUGCCAGUCGGGCGAGCGGCAGACGGGUGAUUAAUGUCUGGGGAUCUGCCUGAUGGCGGGGGAUACCUACUGGAAACGGUAGCUAAUAACGAAUACCAUCAACUGACCCCAUAUGGGAUUAGCUAGUAGGUAAGGUACCGGCAUACCUAGGAGAAGCUCCCUAGCUGGUCUGAGAGGAUGUUAAGCCAGACUGGGACUGAUACACGGCCCAGACUGCGACGUGAGGCAGCAGUGGGGAAUAUUGCACAAUGGGCGGAAGGCUGAUGCAGCACUGCAGCGUGUAUGAAGAAGGCCAUCGGGUUGUACAGUACUUGCAGGCGGGAGGCGUUACCGACAGAAGAAGCACCGGCUAACUCCGUGCCAGCAGCCGCGGUAAUAC
rnacentral:rRNA from 1 species